rnacentral:rRNA from 1 species
CACGAACGCUGGCGGCAGGCUUAACACAUGCAAGUCGAGCGCCCCGCAAGGGGAGCGGCAGACGGGUGAGUAACGCGUGGGAAUCUACCCAUCUCUACGGAAUAACGCAUGGAAACGUGUGCUAAUGCCGUAUACGUCCUUCGGGAGAAAGAUUUAUCGGAGAUGGAUGAGCCCGCGUUGGAUUAGCUAGUUGGUGGGGUAAAGGCCUACCAAGGCGACGAUCCAUAGCUGGUCUGAGAGGAUGAUCAGCCACACUGGGACUGAGACACGGCCCAGACUCCUACGGGAGGCAGCAGUGGGGAAUAUUGGACAAUGGGCGCAAGCCUGAUCCAGCCAUGCCGCGUGAGUGAUGAAGGCCCUAGGGUUGUAAAGCACUUUCACCGGUGAAGAUAAUGACGGUAACCGGAGAAGAAGCCCCGGCUAACUUCGUGCCAGCCGCCGCAGUAACAC